GAUGUAGUGAAGCGUCGCGUUCAUUUCCUGUCUGGACCGGAAGUAGAUUCUGCACAUGAGUGGAUCUGUCGGAAGCUGCUGUUGAUCGAAAGUGUGUGCUCAGAGUGUAUAAUCUCCUACUAUCGGCACUUUGGCGCUACUGUGCCCUCAUACACAUUUCUGACGGUCCCUGCGCGCGUUUCAUUGGUCGAGCGGCGGAAUCCUCGUCAGCGAUUGGCUGGUUUUUAUGUCCAUCAAACUCAGCGCGCGCUAUUGAGCUCACCAGCUGACGAGAAGUGCUGCCGAUUAGCUUCAUUAGCCGAAUUAGCUUCAUUUCAGCGGAGUUUGGAAGUGAUAACGUCAAAAGUUCAUUAACUGAAGCUGAAGAAAAGAGCAUAAACUGAGCAGGAUGUAAAAAUACAUAUGGUCAGGCAAAGACAAAGCCUUCAGUGAGGGACGAGAAAUCAACACAUUUAAAGGGAGAGAAAUCCAAACUGCAAAGUGAGGACAACAAUUGUUGAAGGAAGCCACACCUCUGCCUUUUUAUCAUAGGGGAUAUCUUUCCGGAUAAGGAGAAUUUAUACAGCUAUGGGGAUUCCUCUUGGCCAUGGCGUUUAAGGGAAUUAUGUAAAGAGACCUCGGUGGCUGUGACUGAAUGCAGUGUGAAUACUUCCACAUCAGAGAAAGAAUUAUGUGAAGAGACCUCGGUGGCUGUGACUGAAUGCAGUGUGAAUAUUUCCACAUCGGAGAAAGAAAUAGAAAAAGUGAAAUGGAUGAAGCUGAGAACUCCAGAGAGGCCAAAUCAAGAAGAGCUGUGAAAAGGCCAUGGUGCCCAAAUGAAGUGAAUGCUGUCAUUGCAAAGGGACAUCUCACAACAAAGGCAGAUUGUGAGCAGUGCAAAACUGCAGAGGACCCUGUUCUAAGAGAAAGAACAGUACAAAAUAUAAGGGAUUUAGCAGUUUAAAAAUGAUUGUUAGUUCAGGAUCAGUUUUGCCUUGCCCUUGUAUACAGCUCGUGGCUUUUGUUUAAGUUUUGUUGACUAAGUUUUAAAUGUACUAUUGUUAAUGUAAAGUUGAAUUGUUUAUAGAUCUUAACAAAUAAAUAUUUAUUUAGACAGCA